rnacentral:rRNA from 1 species
CGAACGCUGGCGGCGUGCCUAACACAUGCAAGUCGGACGAGAAAGGGGUAGCAAUACCCCCGGUAAAGUGGCGAACGGGUGAGUAACACGUGGGUAACCUGCCCUCGAGCUCGGAAUAACCCGCCGAAAGGUGGGCUAAUACCGGAUAACGCUUUCGGCCCCUCGGGGCUGAAAACCAAAGAUGGCCAAUGCUUGCAAGCUAUCACUUGAGGAGGGGCCCGCGGCCCAUUAGCUAGUUGGCGGGGUAAUGGCCCACCAAGGCGACGAUGGGUAGCCGGCCUGAGAGGGCGAUCGGCCACAUUGGAACUGAGACACGGUCCAGACUCCUACGGGAGGCAGCAGUGAGGAAUCUUGCGCAAUGGGCGAAAGCCUGACGCAGCAACGCCGCGUGGGUGAUGAAGGCCUUCGGGUCGUAAAACCCUGUCAGGUGGGAAGAAUCGGGCAGGAGCUAAUACCUUCUGUCCCUGACUGUACCACCAGAGGAAGCCCCGGCUAACUCCGUGCCAGCAGCCGCGGUAAUACGGAGGGGGCCAGCGUUGUUCGGAAUUAUUGGGCGUAAAGGGCGCGUAGGCGGCCGGGUAAGUCUGACGUGAAAUCCCUUGGCUCAACCAAGGAAUUGCGUCUUAAACUGCUCGGCUUGAGUCCGGGAGAGGGUAGUGGAAUUCCCAGUGUAGCGGUGAAAUGCGUAGAUAUUGGGAGGAACACCGGUGGCGAAGGCGGCUACCUGGACCGGUACUGACGCUGAGGCGCGAAAGCUAGGGUAGCAAACAGGAUUAGAUACCCUGGUAGUCCUAGCUGUAAACGAUGGGCACUUGGUGUAGCGGGUAUCGACCCCUGCUGUGCCGAAGCUAACGCAUUAAGUGCCCCGCCUGGAGAGUACGGUCGCAA